CGGCGGAGCCCUCGUUCUCAACGGCGGCGGAGCCUUCGUCCUCAAAAAAUGGUUGUGAGGGGAGCCCGUGGGCAUACUGAGAUGGAGCCCCCAGAUUCAACUUCGAAUAGAGGGGAUGCUGCCGCUCGGACCUUCGAAUUGACGGUCAAUUUCUUUCCAUCAAAGGCAAAAUUAGUUGAUGGUAGCAUUCAGAACAUUGAGAGAGACACAAUUGUUAAAUGGGAGGUUGAGUUUACAGAGAUUGAUCCACAAGUUCUACAGAACAUGGGAGAGAAGGCAGUGAAGAAAUGGGUGGAAAAAAUUGGGGAGAAUGUUGUUUGGGGUCCAGAGCAAGA